rfam:Brachypodium distachyon strain Bd21 chromosome 3, whole genome shotgun sequence.
UAUAUACUCCCUCCGUUUCAGAUUAAGUGACUCAAAUUUGUCUAAAUAUGAAUGUAUCUAUAUCUAAAGUGUGUCUAGAUACAUGUAAUAGAAAGUCACUUAAUAUAGAACGGAGAGAGUAUUUA